rnacentral:rRNA from 1 species
GAUGAACGCUGGCGGCAUGCCUUACACAUGCAAGUCGAACGGUAGCACGGGUGCUUGCACCUGGUGGCGAGUGGCGAACGGGUGAGUAAUAUAUCGGAACGUACCUUAUUGUGGGGGAUAACGCAGCGAAAGCUGUGCUAAUACCGCAUAAUCCCUAAGGGGGAAAGCGGGGGACCGUAAGGCCUCGCGCAAUUAGAGCGGCCGAUACCUGAUUAGCUAGUUGGUGAGGUAAAGGCUCACCAAGGCAACGAUCAGUAGCUGGUCUGAGAGGACGAUCAGCCACACUGGGACUGAGACACGGCCCAGACUCCUACGGGAGGCAGCAGUGGGGAAUUUUGGACAAUGGGCACAAGCCUGAUCCAGCCAUGCCGCGUGCGGGAAGAAGGCCUUCGGGUUGUAAACCGCUUUUGUACGGAGCGAAACGGCGAUUUCUAAUACAGAUCGCUAAUGACGGUACCGUAAGAAUAAGCACCGGCUAACUACGUGCCAGCCGCCGCUGUAA